GACGAACCGUGCGAACGUUAUUCGGAAUCACUGGGCUUAAAGCGCGUGUAGGCGGGGCGGCACGUCGGUCGCUGAAAGCCCCCGGCUCAACCGGGGAACGGGCGCCGAUACGACCGCCCUGGAGGGACGUAGGGGGGCCUGGAACUUCCGGUGGAGCGGUGAAAUGCGUUGAGAUCGGAAGGAACGCCCGUGGCGAAAGCGAGGCCCUGGACGUCUGCUGACGCUGAGACGCGAAAGCCAGGGGAGCGAAUGGG
rnacentral:rRNA from 1 species